GACGAACGCUGGCGGCGUGCCUAAUACAUGCAAGUCGAGCGGACGAAUCGAAAGCUUGCUUUUGAUUCGUUAGCGGCGGACGGGUGAGUAACACGUGGGCAACCUGCCCUGUAGACGGGGAUAACACCGAGAAAUCGGUGCUAAUACCGGAUAACACGAAAUGUCGCAUGACGUUUCGUUGAAAGACGGCGCAAGCUGUCGCUACAGGAUGGGCCCGCGGCGCAUUAGCUAGUUGGUGGGGUAACGGCUCACCAAGGCGACGAUGCGGAGCCGACCUGAGAGGGUGAUCGGCCACACUGGGACUGAGCCAGGGCCCAGACUCCUACGGGAGGCAGCAGUAGGGAAUCUUCCGCAAUGGACGAAAGUCUGACGGAGCAACGCCGCGUGAGCGAAGAAGGCCUUCGGGUCGUAAAGCUCUGUUGUUAGGGAAGAACAAGUAACGCAGUAACUGGCGUUACCGUGACGGUACCUAACGAGAAAGCCACGGCUAACUACGUG
rnacentral:rRNA from 1 species